AUUUAAAUAGUUUAAUAAAAAUAUUGAUUUGUGGUGUCAAUGAUAUGAGUUUCAUUUUAGAUC
rnacentral:tRNA from 1 species